rnacentral:misc_RNA from 1 species
AUUUUACGCCAAACCAAGGAAGCCAUUUUGUUGUCUUCUUCAAAUUCAAAUCAUCCAAAACAGUGUGUGUGAAGGAAUUCACAAUGUGGGGUCCAUAUGAUCUUGAAAAAUAAUGGGGAGGAGAGCCCCGCUGUCUGCUACUUUCACUUUCUGAAUCAAGAAAAGCUUGCUCCAGGCCCUUUCCAUUUGAAAUUCAAAUUCAAACGGUUCCCAUAGGGGACGGCCACACUCAAUUUUUAUCUCAUCAGUAUAGAACAAGACCACAGAGCUCAAAGCUUGGAAGAUUUUCAAGUGCCAACACUGCGAACUAGCUCAUGGGGGAGCCAACUUGUCUCAUGCAGCAACAGCCCUUCUCUUAUGCUGCUGGCAUUCCCAAUGAAGCUAAUCAGGGCAACCCUCUUCAUGCUCUUGGCCAAUCCAUCUCUUUUGGAAGGUUCAUGUCCGAGUCCUUAGCUUGGGAGAAAUGGUCCACCUUCUCUCAUAACCGAUAUGUUGAAGAGGCUGAGAGAUUCUCUCGCCCUGGCUCAGUUGCGCAGAAGAAAGCUUAUUUUGAAGCACAUUAUAAGAAUCUUGCUGCAAGAAAGGCAGCUGCUUUGCUUGAGCAAGCAACUGCUGCCGCUAACAAUGUGUCUGAAGCAGCAAAUGAAGAUGAAUUUCAAGAAAAUGCAACCCAAGAUCCAGGAAUAGCAAUAAGUUCUGAGGCAAGUUUUGUUCCUGAUGACAAUGUACCUAACUCGCAUGCUCAAAUUGAUAAAUCUGAAAGCAGAAAGGUCGAAGAAGUUGAUCCGCUGAGAGAAAACCAAGCUGAUCUGGAGGAUUUUGCUAAGAUUGAUUCUUUAAGCCAAGUUUAUUUUGCUGAUAACAAGGAGGAGAUGAAGGAAACAGAGCAUAGUGGAACAAAAUUAAUGGAGAAACCUUUAUUGAAGGAUUUCAUCUCUAAUAAAGACGAUUUGGGUUCGAAAAACAAGAAGAAACCUGCAGGUUGUUCCUCCAAGUCGUUAAUUUCUGGUAGAGCAUCCAAGUUGCCAUGCACACCAGUUAAACCUGCAGCUUCUGUUCGUUCUAGAAAAGAAAACAAUGCCACUCCAAUCAGCAAGAAGUCUGCAUUAGACUCCUUGGAUAAGAAAAGAUCAACUCCAAAAUCAACUUACAAGUCAGCGAAUUUCACUCCUGUCAGAGAACUAAAUAGAAUAACUUCCACAAUUAUCCGAAAGAUUGAUGGUUCUAAAGUUACUUCUAAUUCUAAAGCAUCAAAAGAUUGCCCAACUCCUCUAAGGACUCCAACCACGGUAUCUAUGCUAAGAGAGCCUAAACGUCCGCUAGCCACCCCUCAGUCAGAAAACAGAAGGUCAAAAACACCUCUUCACCCCUCAGCAUCUGGGAGCAAAACAGGUCGCCCGAAGUGGCAUUUCCUCCCAAAAGAGUAAUACGUUUGAAUUGCCAUUGUUUUCAGAUAUUUGUAUCUCUGCUUACACAACCUAUUUUUAUGGGGAAGAAAAGAAUGUGAUAACACAUAAGAUAUAAUACUUCCUAUUCAUCCAUCUCAGGCUCAGGACAGGGAAAGAAACUGUACUAAGUUUUUAUAUCUAUUGCAUCAUAAUUAGUUCUUAACUACGUAAGAUUUGGGAGCCAAGUUAAUUUUAGACGUUCAAAAGUUCAUAUUGAUCCCUUCAGAUGGAAGUGGAAGUUUUUUAGAAAGGAUUUUGAGUUCUCAUUUCUGAUUAUUGUUUAUAUAUGUCAGUUGCUCAAAGUUUAUGAGUUCCUGCAGAAACAAAUCUCAAUCCCCAAAUUUAUCUACACCUUUUAGAUUGAAGACUGAAGAAAGAGCUGCAAGAAGAAAGGAGGCAAGGAUAUAGCUAAAUUGCUUCUUUUCUUUUCCUUUCUCUUUUCUUUUCUUUUUUAAAAAAGGUGCAGCAAUCUACAUUGUUUUAUAAUUUUUAAUCAUAUUCCCCACAUUUUUCCUUUACUUUCAGAGGCUUGAAGAGAAAUUCAAUGCUAAUCAGGCACAACAGGUGCAGUUGCAGGCAACUCUUAAGGUAAAUAAAGUGUUGAAAAGCUUCCGAUGUGAUGACAAAACAACUGAGAUUCUCGAUGGAAAACUUACUGGAGAGACAAACACCCCCAGAAAUCUAAUUAAUAAUUGUUCCCUCUCAAGUAAAUUCAAAACUCAGUUUCUUACACGAUAAUCAUGGUUUUGAGCAGGAGAAGGCGGAAACAGAACUUAAAAGACUGCGUCAAACCCUUUGCUUCAGGGCCAGGCCGCUGCCUGAUUUUUAUAGAGAAAGAGCAACACCAAAAAAUCAGGUGGAAAGGGUAUCUUUGUGGAUUUCCAUUUUGCUAAAUUAAUAGCAACGUAGAAAUUUUUGCUUCAAUGUUUCUCCAUCUCUGCUCUCAGGUUCAAUUGACACAUCCUCAGUCACCCAACCUCGGAAGAACACCCACUCCCAGCAUGCUAAAGAGCACCUCUCAACCACCUCAGAGGUCUUCAUUCAAGAACAGCAGCUCUAAGCAUGCUAUGGGAAAGAAAAGUGACAAUUCACGUUCUCUAACUUCACGACUCCGAUCAAUUGCAAGUGAGAAUACUUCUCCAAAUAUUCAGCAUGAACAAGUAGCAAAAAAGUGAGCUUUUUGUAUGAUGAAAUUAAUUUUCCAAGGAUCCAAUUAUAGCAAAUUCAUAUGAGGUGCUCUCUUGUAAUCUGUAUUUAGAAGGAAUAGGGUGUUGUAAAAUUAAUUUGUCCUCCGGAUACUAAUUGGAUUAGUGUAGGCCACGAAGAACGUAACUGUUAUGUAAUCUAUGAAGAACUAAUUUUUUAACAAGAGGUAGAUGACCUUGCCAUGUAAACGUAGCGAGGUAGAUGACCUUGCCAUGUAAACGUAGCGAGGUAAUUGCAUUGGAACAGGAGUUAAGAUUGUACAAAAUGUUAAGAAACAACUAAUAUUUGAUCAUCAGCAUCAAAACCAUCAUAUCCUGAAGCACACAGCUCUCAGGAUAUACCACAAAGACAGCAAUCAGAAAAGCAUAAAGUCCCAUGACAGCUGGCCCAGUCCCUGAAAUUUAAUUGCAUGCAUCGCUUGAUUGAAAUGAUGAAUGAACUCAGAGCCUUUAACAUUGCAAUUUAGCAUUAUCAGCAUGAGAAAAACAGCUAUUCUGUUGCAAAAUACUAGUUACCUCUUUAUGGUGACUCGCUCUCUGAUAAGGUAUUUCAAGCUUAAUUUUACUGCCUUAACUAGUGAAGUCGAAUGGAGAGUACAGCGGAUGCAACCAUUACAAUCCUGCCAAUUGGACUCCAGCAGCCCGGAGAACCAAGGUAUGCAAUUAAACCUACCAGGAAUG